rnacentral:misc_RNA from 1 species
GUUGCUCCGUGAUCGGGGUGGGGUGCKGUUGGCUCACAUUGAGCCCCYUGCAUACCCUUCACCCCUUUAUGGUCGGUCGGUCCCCGUGGCCUCCGACCCAACACAACAAUCGGCGCGGUUGGCGCCAAGGAACUYWCAAUGGAACGGGUGUGGCACCGCYGUGACUUGUGCAUGGCGUGUGYCGUCCCAAAAUCCGAAUCUUAUUAACGACUCUCGGCAACGGAUAUCUCGGCUCUCGCAUCGAUGAAGAACGUAGCGAAAUGCGAUACUUGGUGUGAAUUGCAGAAUCCCGUGAACCAUCGAGUCUUUGAACGCAAGUUGCGCCCUAGGCCAUCGGGCCGAGGGCACGUCUGCCUGGGCGUCACGCAUCGCGUCGCCCUCCCUCGAACACCCUUGUGGCGGUCGAGUGUGGAGCGGAGAUUGGCCCCCCAUUCCCC